rnacentral:rRNA from 1 species
AUUGAACGCUGGCGGCAGGCCUAACACAUGCAAGUCGAGCGGAUGAGGAGAGCUUGCUCUCUGAUUCAGCGGCGGACGGGUGAGUAAUGCCUAGGAAUCUGCCUGGUAGUGGGGGACAACGUUUCGAAAGGAACGCUAAUACCGCAUACGUCCUACGGGAGAAAGCAGGGGACCUUCGGGCCUUGCGCUAUCAGAUGAGCCUAGGUCGGAUUAGCUAGUUGGUGAGGUAAUGGCUCACCAAGGCGACGAUCCGUAACUGGUCUGAGAGGAUGAUCAGUCACACUGGAACUGAGACACGGUCCAGACUCCUACGGGAGGCAGCAGUGGGGAAUAUUGGACAAUGGGCGAAAGCCUGAUCCAGCCAUGCCGCGUGUGUGAAUAAGGUCUUCGGAUUGUAAAGCACUUUAAGUUGGGAGGAAGGGCAGUAAGUUAAUACCUUGCUGUUUUGACGUUACCGACAGAAUAAGCACCGGCUAACUCUGUGCCAGCCGCCGCGGUAAUAC